UUCAGUAAGGUCCGUAACACAUUCACA
rnacentral:sRNA from 1 species